rnacentral:rRNA from 1 species
UACGAAGGGGGCUAGCGUUGCUCGGAAUCACUGGGCGUAAAGCGCACGUAGGCGGCUUUUUAAGUCAGAGGUGAAAUCCUGGAGCUCAACUCCAGAACUGCCUUUGAUACUGGAGAGCUUGAGUCCGGGAGAGGUGAGUGGAACUGCGAGUGUAGAGGUGAAAUUCGUAGAUAUUCGGAAGAACACCAGUGGCGAAGGCGGCUCACUGGACAUGUAUUGACGCUGAGGUGCGAAAGCGUGGGGAGCAAACAGG